rnacentral:lncRNA from 1 species
GAAGAAGGACUGCGGCAUCCAUGGAGAGCAGAAGCGGCACAAGCUGUACCGCCGCCUGUUCGCGACCUUUCUGAUGCUUGUCAUCCUCGCUCUCCUCGCCGUCCUCGUCGUUUGGCUCGUCCUCCGCCCCACCAAGCCCAGGUUCUACCUCCAGGACGCCGACCUCCUCCGGUUCAACCUCACCCCUGGCGCCGCCCCCCUCCUCACCUCCGUCGUCCAGGUCACCCUCUCCUCCCGCAACCCCAACGACCGCAUCGGCGUCUACUACGACCGUCUCGACGCCUUCGUCCUCUACAACAGCCAGCAGGUCACCGCCGCCACCGCCCU